CUUGGGUACAAUUUUACAUGAUUUUGAGAUGAAAUGGGGACAUGUGAGUGGAAAGACUAUUGCUGUUGUUGGCUUUGUAUUUGAACUUGAGCUUCCUUCCAACAUUGAUUCCAAAAUGUUGCUUUAAUAUAGUCUUUAUCCACUUUUUCUUAAAUUAUUAUCCCUGAAAGGAGUGGUUUCAGUUUUCCUACUCACACCUGUGAAAUUUCAAUGUGACAUACUGUAGGUGUUUUUACCUACUGUGUGUAUGUUUGUGCUUUAUACAUAAAAUAAGGGUUUUUUAACUCUCUUUGAGAAUUCAUGCAUUAAUGCUCUGAGUUAGCACUAUUUUGAGGUCUUUUGUGUGCAGAGCUUUUUGCUUGGAGUACAGCAGUGAACAACAUAGGUCUAGUGACGGUCUUUCUGAAGCUGAAAGCAUAGGAAAUGGAAGUUCUUGCAGGUGAAAUAUAGAUGAUACAAGAAGUGUGGCAAGACGUGGAAUUGGGAAGGCAAGCAGGAAUCAGAUGUGAAAAGUGUCUGGUGUGAUAGUUUAUUCUAUGGCAAAGAGGAAUUUAUCUUCUGUUGCCUGCAUGGUUGGGUUGAAUUUUAAACUGGGAAGUAAUACAGGUAGAACUAUAUUUAAGAAAAAUUACUACUGAAGCUGGACAAGACACGUGGUUUUGUAGCCAGGUCCAGUGGUGCAGGCCUGCAAUCCCAGGUAUAUGGGAGACUAAAGCUGGAGAAUCACUUGAGCCCAGGAGUUAGAGGCCAGCCUGGACAGUGUAACAAGAUUUUUGUCUUAAAAAAUAAUAAUAAUAAAUAAAUAAAUAAAUAAAGGUCUUGGGACCAGUUAGAAAGAGACAGGAUUUGGGGAGACUGUCACUGUGGCAGUUCUUCACUAGGUUUGUUUAUUUGGUUUUUAUAUACUGGGGAUUGAAUCC
rnacentral:lncRNA from 1 species